rnacentral:rRNA from 1 species
GAGCGCCCACUUCGGUGGGAGCGGCAGACGGGUGAGUAACGCGUGGGAAUCUACCCAGCUCUACGGAACAACCCAGGGAAACUUGGGCUAAUACCGUAUACGUCCUCCGGGAGAAAGAUUUAUCGGAGCUGGAUGAGCCCGCGUUGGAUUAGCUAGUUGGUGGGGUAAUGGCCUACCAAGGCGACGAUCCAUAGCUGGUCUGAGAGGAUGAUCAGCCACAUUGGGACUGAGACACGGCCCAAACUCCUACGGGAGGCAGCAGUGGGGAAUAUUGGACAAUGGGCGAAAGCCUGAUCCAGCCAUGCCGCGUGAGUGAUGAAGGCCCUAGGGUUGUAAAGCUCUUUCAGUGGGGAAGAUAAUGACGGUACCCACAGAAGAAGCCCCGGCUAACUUCGUGCCAGCAGCCGCGGUAAUACGAAGGGGGCUAGCGUUGUUCGGAAUUACUGGGCGUAAAGCGCACGUAGGCGGAUUGUUUAGUGAGGGGUGAAAUCCCAGGGCUCAACCCUGGAACUGCCUCUCAUACUGGCAAUCUCGAGUCCGGAAGAGGUGAGUGGAAUUCCGAGUGUAGAGGUGAAAUUCGUAGAUAUUCGGAGGAACACCAGUG